GACGAACGCUGGCGGCGUGCUUAACACAUGCAAGUCGAACGGAAAGGCCCUGCUUUUGUGGGGUGCUCGAGUGGCGAACGGGUGAGUAACACGUGAGUAACCUGCCCUUGACUUUGGGAUAACUUCAGGAAACUGGGGCUAAUACCGGAUAGGAGCUCCUGCUGCAUGGUGGGGGUUGGAAAGUUUCGGCGGUUGGGGAUGGACUCGCGGCUUAUCAGCUUGUUGGUGGGGUAGUGGCUUACCAAGGCUUUGACGGGUAGCCGGCCUGAGAGGGUGACCGGCCACAUUGGGACUGAGAUACGGCCCAGACUCCUACGGGAGGCAGCAGUGGGGAAUAUUGCACAAUGGGCGGAAGCCUGAUGCAGCAACGCCGCGUGCGGGAUGACGGCCUUCGGGUUGUAAACCGCUUUCGCCUGUGACGAAGCGUGAGUGACGGUAAUGGGUAAAGAAGCACCGGCUAACUACGUGCCAGCAGCCGCGGUGAUACGUAGGGUGCGAGCGUUGUCCGGAUUUAUUGGGCGUAAAGGGCUCGUAGGUGGUUGAUCGCGUCGGAAGUGUAAUCUUGGGGCUUAACCCUGAGCGUGCUUUCGAUACGGGUUGACUUGAGGAAGGUAGGGGAGAAUGGAAUUCCUGGUGGAGCGGUGGAAUGCGCAGAUAUCAGGAGGAACACCAGUGGCGAAGGCGGUUCUCUGGGCCUUUCCUGACGCUGAGGAGCGAAAGCGUGGGGAGCGAACAGGCUUAGAUACCCUGGUAGUCCACGCUGUAAACGGUGGGUACUAGGUGUGGGGUCCAUUCCACGGGUUCCGUGCCGUAGCUAACGCUUUAAGUACCCCGCCUGGGGAGUACGGCCGCAAGGCUAAAACUCAAAGGAAUUGACGGGGCCCCGCACAAGCGGCGGAGCAUGCGGAUUAAUUCGAUGCAACGCGUAGAACCUUACCCGGGUUUGACAUGGAUCGGGAGCGCUCAGAGAUGGGUGUGCCUCUUUUGGGGUCGGUUCACAGGUGGUGCAUGGCUGUCGUCAGCUCGUGUCGUGAGAUGUUGGGUUAAGUCCCGCAACGAGCGCAACCCUUGUUCACUGUUGCCAGCACGUUAUGGUGGGGACUCAGUGGAGACCGCCGGGGUCAACUCGGAGGAAGGUGGGGAUGACGUCAAGUCAUCAUGCCCCUUAUGUCCAGGGCUUCACGCAUGCUACAAUGGCUGGUACAGAGAGUGGCGAGCCUGUGAGGGUGAGCGAAUCUCGGAAAGCCGGUCUCAGUUCGGAUUGGGGUCUGCAACUCGACCUCAUGAAGUCGGAGUCGCUAGUAAUCGCAGAUCAGCAACGCUGCGGUGAAUACGUUCCCGGG
rnacentral:rRNA from 1 species